GACGAACGCUGGCGGCGUGCUUAACACAUGCAAGUCGAACGGAAAGGCCCUGCUCUUGCGGGGUGCUCGAGUGGCGCACGGGUGAGUAACACGUGAGUAACCCCCCCUUGACUUCGGGAUAACUCCAGGAAACUGGGGCUCUUAUCGGUCAGGAGCUUCUGUUGUACGGUGGGGGUAGGAAAGUUUCGCCGGUUCGGGAAGGACUCGCGGCCUAUCAGCUUGUUGGUGGGGUAGUGGCUUACCAAGGCGUUGACGGGUCGCCAGACUGGGAGGGUGACCGGGCACAGUGGGACUGAGGUAGGAGCCAGAGUGCAACGUGAGGAAGCGGUGGGAAAUUGUGCGAAAUAGGCGGAAGCAUGGAAGAGGAACGCCGCGUGCGGGAUGACGGCCUUCGGGUUGUAAAGCGCUUUCGCGUGGAACGAAGCGAGAGUGACGGUAAUUGGUAAGGAAGCGCCGGCUAACUACGUG
rnacentral:rRNA from 1 species